rnacentral:rRNA from 1 species
GUGCCAGCCGCCGCGGUAAUACCGGCAGCCCAAGUGAUGGCCGCUGUUAUUGGGCCUAAAGCGUCCGUAGCUGGCCGAGCAAGUCCAUCGGGAAAUCCGCCAGCCCAACUGGCGGGCGUCCGGUGGAAACUGCACGGCUCGGGACCGGAAGACCCGAAGGGUACGUCUUGGGUAGGAGUGAAAUCCCGUAAUCCUGGACGGACCACCGAUGGCGAAAGCACUUCGGGAAGACGGAUCCGACGGUGAGGGACGAAAGCCAGGGUCUCGAACCGGAUUAGAAACCCUUGUAGUCC